CUUCAGUGAUGAUAAGAUGACGAGUCAGAAUGGGACGCUGGCUAUCUCUUUGAUUUCUAGGUUGGUGGUCACGUUCUGUGUCCCUGACUUAAGAUCCUCAGAGUGGCAUGUUCCUUUCAGUUGAAGACAUCGAGGCAUUUGUCUGAGAAGG